AGUCACUGAGCGCGCGGCGCGGGAGCUGCUGGCAGUCGCUGCGUCUCUGGCGAGGGAGCGCCGCGCCUGGGGAGGAGGCGGAGGCAGCGGCUGGAGGAGCGCGAGCGGCGGUUUCCUUGCCCGGGGCCGCGGGAAGGCCGACCGACUGCCGCGAUGGAGCAGCUAUCAGAUGAAGAAAUUGAUCAUGGUGCUGAAGAAGACAGUGACAAGGAAGAUCAGGACCUGGACAAAAUGUUUGGAGCCUGGCUUGGAGAACUAGACAAACUCACUCAGGUCGGACGUAGUGCUUGAAAAACUGGUUGAGGAUUUGAAGUCACCAUUGUGUUAAAAGUUUAAUGUGCAGAAGA
rnacentral:sRNA from 1 species